rnacentral:misc_RNA from 1 species
UUUGGUUUUUAGUACAUUUAUCUUAAACAUUGCAAUGUAUGGUUAACAUAAAACCGUUUAACUUAAAAAGUUUUUUUACCUAUUUUUAUUUUCUAGUUUUUAGUUUUUAUUUCGCAUUCUGUUUAAUUCAUUUAGUGCUUCAUUAUUGCAAGGCCCAUCUUAAAUAUUGAGGUUGUAUAGUACACUGUAUUCUUCUUGUCAAGCCCUUU